AUGAUUUUUAACGUUGGACAAACCUAUUUUUUAUAGGCACAUGAGUGGCUGUGUGCGAAGUAACUUGCUAACCAACCGCAUGGCUCCAUGUUCAGUCCCACUGCGGAGCAUUUUGGACAAGUAUUUUCUACUAUAGCCUCGGGACGACCAAAACCUUGUGAGUGGAUUUGGUAGAAGGAAACUGAAAGAAGCCCGUCACUUAUAUAUAUUAGUAGCUGUUCAACUUAACUGGCGACCAUGUUCUUUACUGAUGGCAUAAACACAUCACAUAUUUACAGAUGUCACGCACAAAGCGUGAAACUUUUGAAGACGGAGCUGGUCGAGUGAAUAAAACAUCAAUUUUCAAUCGUGACUUAUUUCAUCUACCCCGAAAGGAUUAAAUGCUCAGUUGAUUACGGCAGAAUUUGAACUCAGAACAUAAAGGCGGGCGGGCAGGAUGCUGCUACGCAUUUUAUCCAGCGCAGGUACGAUUCUGCCAUUUCGCGCCAUCUAGGCUUUACAUAAUGGAAAUAAGAUAAAGGAAUGUGAGCUAUUUACUACGUUACUUAACCCUGUGCAGAAUAAAAUGCCCUUGUUGAUUGUUAACAACAAACAUUGAAAACCUUUUCUGGCGGCAAACAAAUUCGGAAAAAACAAACAAACAAAAGUAUUAUAGAAAUAAAAAAAAUCUACGAGACAUCUACUGAAUUGGACUUUUCUCCUUCCUCUAGCUAGGGUAAUAAUGCGAAUAAUAAAUUGCGUUUCCUCUACAGCCUUAUGGAUUAUUUUGCAGUUAAUUUCGGGUCGUUGUUAAAGAGAAAAGAGAACGUUACCACCAAUACGUCAAUUCUAUAUUCUAAGGAAUAACAAUAGAUAAGUCUGAUGAAUGCGACAUAAAACCUAAGCAUUGGUGGUGCUUAUCUAGAUAACAAAAUAGAACUGAUCGUGUGCAAUAACCAUAAAGAAAAGACACUUUCUCUGCAGUUUAGGAAACAACAUGGUUCUUAUGCCUAUUGUAGAUAUUGAUGCAGUGAAUUAAUAGGAAUAUAUAAACCAGACGAAAUUCCUGGGAAGAUGAUGCAUUUCAUUACAUAAUGCUGUUUGCUAUUCCGUGUAUUAAGUCAAUAAUCUUUGCUAGUGUUUUGGGGUCUAAGCAACAGAGAAACUAGCUAAUUUGUGCCAUGUAAUACGCGAUUUUUAAUAAAAUGUUAAUAAAAUAAUAUAUUUAUAUGUAUAAAUUAAUGUAGCAUAAAAA